rnacentral:rRNA from 1 species
ACUCAAAUGAAUAGACGGGGGCCCGCACAAGCAGUGGAUUAUGUGGUUUAAUUCGAAGCAACGCGAAGAACCUUACCAGGGCUUGACAUGGAAUUGACCGGACUAGAGAUAGUUCUUUCCUUCGGGACAAUUCACACAGGUGGUGCAUGGUUGUCGUCAGCUCGUGUCGUGAGAUGUUGGGUUAAGUCCCGCAACGAGCGCAACCCCUAUUGUUAGUUGCUACGCAAGAGCACUCUAGCGAGACUGCCGUUGACAAAACGGAGGAAGGUGGGGACGACGUCAAAUCAUCAUGCCCCUUAUGUCCUGGGCUACACACGUAAUACAAUGGCGUUUAACAACGGGAUGCAAAGCCGCGAGGUGGAGCAAAUCCCCAAAAAGCGUCUCAGUUCGGAUUGCAGGCUGCAACCCGCCUGCAUGAAGUCGGAAUUGCUAGUAAUCGCGGAUCAGCAUGCCGCGGUGAAUACGUUCUCGGGCCUUGUACACACCGCCCGU